UUCUGGGGUUCUGCAGAGGGCAGCGUGAUUUCAUCACUUGAACACUUUGUGGAACUGGGCAGGAAGCACUCUGUCCAUUUCAUAGAUGGGCAAACUGAGCCUCCCCCAACUGGGCCCUGUGCCUCCUCGGGUUGGGGUGGAUAACAGCAAAACAGUGCAGGGAGCGGGGAAGCUCUGAGAGGCCUUGAUCAGAGCACUCAGGCUCUGCUACUUUCCAGCUUGGUGGCCUCCUGCAUCCUCAUGUGGGCAGGGGGAUUAUGAGACCUGCAGCUGGGUUGGGAUGAGAUGGAUGAAGGUGCUGGGCAAGUGUGGGAUUGAUUUUCUGUGGGGACUCGAGUGGAAUGUUUCUCUGUUGGUCCAGGGGGAACUUGAGGUUAAGAACAUGGACAUGAAGCCGGGGUCAGCCCUGAAGAUCACAGGCAGGAUUGCCGAUGGCGCUGAUUCGUGAGCAAAGUUUCAGGCUUUGUAAUUAACCUGGGCCAGGGGACAGACAAGCUGAACCUGCAUUUGAACCCUCGCUUCAGCGAAUCCACCAUUGUCUGCAACUCACUGGAUGGCAGCAACUGGGGGCAAGAACAAUGGGAAGAUCACCUGUGCUUCAGCCCAGGGUCAGAGGUCAAGUUCACGGUGACCUUUGAGAGUGACAGAUUCAAGGUGAAGCUGCCAGAUGGGCAUGAGCUGACCUUUCCCAACAGGCUGGGCCACAGCCACCUGAGCUACCUGAGCGUGAGGGGCGGGUUCAACACGUCCUCUUUCAAGUUAAAAGAAUAAAAGACUAACAACCGAGA